rnacentral:rRNA from 1 species
GACGAACGCUGGCGGCGUGCUUAACACAUGCAAGUCGAACGAUGAAGCCGGAGCUUGCUCUGGUGAAUUAGUGGCGAACGGGUGAGUAACACGUGAGUAACCUGCCCUUGACUCUGGGAUAACUGCUAGAAAUGGUAGCUAAUACCGGAUACGACCCUCGGCGGCAUCGCCAGGGGGUGGAAAGAAUUUCGGUCAAGGAUGGACUCGCGGCCUAUCAGCUAGUUGGUGAGGUAACGGCUCACCAAGGCGACGACGGGUAGCCGGCCUGAGAGGGUGACCGGCCACACUGGGACUGAGACACGGCCCAGACUCCUACGGGAGGCAGCAGUGGGGAAUAUUGCACAAUGGGCGCAAGCCUGAUGCAGCAACGCCGCGUGAGGGAUGACGGCCUUCGGGUUGUAAAGCUCUUUCAGGGGGGAAGAUAAUGACGGUACCCCCAGAAGAAGCUCCGGCUAACUUCGUGCCAGCCGCCGCGGUAA